UAGUGGGUGAGAGGCCCACCCGGCGAUGCUCCAGCCGGAAGCAACCGGGGCAGGCGUGGAGGUGACGAAAUGUCUGAAGCCCCCGGAUAACGGUCACGUAGGUGACCGUGCGAGCGUACAGGCCGUAACGUGA
rfam:Novosphingobium sp. P6W scaffold25, whole genome shotgun sequence.